AUACGGAGGGUCCGAGCGUUAUCCGGAAUCAUUGGGUUUAAAGGGUCCGUAGGCGGGAAUCUAAGUCAGUGGUGAAAUCUUGCAGCUCAACUGUAAAAUUGCCAUUGAUACUGGAUUUCUUGAAUUAGUGUGAAGUGGUUAGAAUGUGUAGUGUAGCGGUGAAAUGCAUAGAUAUUACACAGAAUACCAAUUGCAAAGGCAGAUCACUAACACUAUAUUGACGCUAAGGGACGAAAGCGUGGGGAGCGAACAGGAUUAGAAACCCGAGUAGUCC
rnacentral:rRNA from 1 species